UNNNNANUCUUCCACAAUGGGCGAAAGCCUGAUGGAGCAACGCCGCGUGUGUGAUGAAGGCUUUAGGGUCGUAAAGCACUGUUGUAUGGGAAGAAAUGCUAGAAUAGGGAAUGAUUCUAGUUCGACGGUACCAUACCAGAAAGGGACGGCUAAAUACGUGCCAGCAGCCGCGGUAAUACGUAUAUCCCGAGCGUUAUCCGGAUUUAUUGGGCGUAAAGCGAGCGCAGACGGUUGAUUAAGUCUGAUGUGAAAGCCCGGAGCUCAACUCCGGAAUGGCAUUGGAAACUGGUUAACUUGAGUGUUGUAGAGGUAAGUGGAACUCCAUGUGUAGCGGUGGAAUGCGUAGAUAUAUGGAAGAACACCAGUGGCGAAGGCGGCUUACUGGACAACAACUGACGUUGAGGCUCGAAAGUGUGGGUAGCAAACAGGAUUAGAUACCCUGGUAGUCCACACCGUAAACGAUGAAUACUAGGUGUUAGGAGGUUUCCGCCUCUUAGUGCCGAAGCUAACGCAUUAAGUAUUCCGCCUGGGGAGUACGACCGCAAGGUUG
rnacentral:rRNA from 1 species